CCUACGGGCGGCUGCAGUGGGGAAUAUUGGACAAUGGGGGCAACCCUGAUCCAGCCAUGCCGCGUGUGUGAAGAAGGCCCUCGGGUUGUAAAGCACUUUCAGUGAGGAAGAACGCCUGGUGGUUAAUACCCAUCAGGAAAGACAUCACUCACAGAAGAAGCACCGGCUAACUCCGUGCCAGCAGCCGCGGUAAUACGGAGGGUGCGAGCGUUAAUCGGAAUUACUGGGCGUAAAGCGCGCGUAGGUGGCUUGAUAAGCCGGUUGUGAAAGCCCCGGGCUCAACCUGGGAACGGCAUCCGGAACUGUCAAGCUAGAGUGUAGUAGUGGAAGGUAGAAUUCCCGGUGUAGCGGUGAAAUGCGUAGAGAUCGGGAGGAAUACCAGUGGCGAAGGCGGCCUUCUGGACUGAGACUGACGCUGAGGUGCGAAAGCGUGGGUAGCAAACAGGAUUAGAUACCCUUGUAGUC
rnacentral:rRNA from 1 species